GAGAUCGUAGCUCAGUUGGUUAGAGCGUCAGUUUGUGGCACUGAAGGCCGUGGGUUCGAAACCCAUCGGUCUCCCCG
rnacentral:tRNA from 1 species